rnacentral:rRNA from 1 species
UGGGGAAUAUUGGACAAUGGGGGCAACCCUGAUCCAGCGACGCCGCGUGUGUGAAGAAGGCCUGCGGGUUGUAAAGCACUUUUAGUGGGGAUGAAAAGCCUAGGGUUAAUACCUCUGGGUCUUGACCUAACCCACAGAAAAAGCACCGGCUAACUCUGUGCCAGCAGCCGCGGUAAUACAGAGGGUGCAAGCGUUAAUCGGAAUUACUGGGCGUAAAGCGUGCGUAGACGGUUACAUAAGUCAGAUGUGAAAGCCCCGGGCUCAACCUGGGAAUUGCAUUUGAGACUGUGUAGCUAGGGUGCGGAAGAGGGAAGCGGAAUUUCCGGUGUAACGGUGAAAUGCGUAGAUAUCGGAAGGAACACCAGUGGCGAAAGCGGCUUCCUGGUCCAGCACCGACGUUCAGGCACGAAAGCGUGGGGAGCAAACAGG